AAAAUAAUUACAUAAAUUUGUUUUAAGAAUCAAAAACCGAACCGGAACCGUACCAAACCGGAAUCGAAACAACGAAGAACCAAACCAAGACCGUACCGAAAUUUCAGUUCAGUUCUGGUUCCGAAGCAAACCCCGAACCAGAAUCGAACACCCCUAAUUACUAUCAUAUGAAAUAUACGUACAUAAUUCAAAGAGAGUGAAAUAUUUGAUUGAGGGAGGAGCAAAUUAUUUGACAAAAAAGGUCCUGACCAACCUAUUGAUAUGGCAGGACCAUGAUGCAUGAGACUCCAAUAAUGAUAAGAAAAAUGUAAAGUACACAAAGAUGCUGAGAGGAAAGACACAAGAAAAAUCAUGCCUAUCAGUGUAACUAUGACUUGAAAAGCUUCACUAGAGCUUAAUCCUUAGCACAAAUCAUAGUUUUCAUCAUGCAGAGCAUGCCAAUAAAAGCAUAAUCUGAAAAAAAAUAAAAUAAAAAUCAAUGUACGCAUUUAAAGUAGCAUUCUAUCACGCAUUCAAGCUUAUAAACAUACACAAAAACGAAAUAGUAGCACAUAAAAUAUGCAUUAAAAAAAGAUCUGAUGAUCAUUUUGCUACCAUGCAAAACCAAAAGACACUCAAUUAUUGUUUGAUGAUUGUAAAGAUAUAGUUUUGAUAGAUGAGACG
rnacentral:misc_RNA from 1 species